CAGAGGCCAGCGGGGAGGGAGGCUUCCCCAGAAAACAGACGCAAGCACAGCUCUGGGCACACACACUGGCUGUUUACCUGGGAGCUCCACGCGGGUGUCGCAAGAGUUCCUUCACGGACAGAUUGUGGCCUGCAGAUUACUCAGCAGCAGUGAGGGCCUCCUCUCCUGAGGACCCAGGCUGAGCCAGUAAAGACAAGAACGCUGGUUAUUUGCAGAGUGAACUCUCCUGUCACUCACCUCCAUGAACUCUUGCACUAGUUGGAUGUCACUAAAUGGACAGCAACCACACUGCCCGUGCUUAUUCGCCGCAGACUUGCCCCAGAGCUGACAGGUAGCGCCCAGAAGCAAGUGCAAAGAAGGGCCUGCCAUGUCUAUUUUUUGCUGUGCACUGUUGGCUUUUUCCUCAAUUGGGCUGUAGAGGGCUGUGUGAACAUGACCUCAUGGUCCACUCAAAAGCUGCCUACAGAGA